UCGCGGCGGAGACGCUCGGGGUGCGCGCCGACCGGCUGGCGUUCGGUGGUCGAUCGAUGGGUGGUCGCAUCUGUUCGAUGGCGAUCGCCGAGGGCC
rnacentral:tRNA from 1 species